GCCUGGGUGGCUCAGUGGUCGAGCAUCUGCCUUUGGCUCAGGUCGUGAUCCCGGAGUCCUGGGAUCGAGUCCCACAUCAGGCU
rnacentral:tRNA from 1 species